AGGAAUGCCUGGCGGGGCGAGGGGGCGUAGUCAUUCUAUGCCAUUAGCUUAUGGUGUUCAGUAUGGUGUGCGGGGUGAGCCUACUGCGGGGGCUGAGAGUUCACCACAGCAGUCAGAGCUGGGUGAAUUGCGGGAUUUAUUUAAACAACAACAGCGGCAGUUAGAUCAGCUUACUAAAAGUUUUGCCCGUUUUCAGACUCCUUACGUACGGGGUCGAUCUCCUCGUCCAGGUCCUGUGAUCUGUAGACGUUGUCAACGACCCGGACAUUUUGCGAGGGAUUGUGAUGGGGAACGGCUUUCCCCGCACCCUAUGUCACCGUUAACGGGCGCCAAUCUGAUUGGAAAUGGGCAGUCUCGUAAUCUACAACUUUCGGGAAACUAGUCCCCGCCGGGCUGUCGAGUCACAACCCGGUUGGGGAAGUAAUUGGCUCAAGUAAUUUAGCUAUUCCCCGCUCAUUGUCUCAUCUAAUGUCAUCUUGUCCACAUCUUGUUGUUUGUAUGGGAGGAGUAUCAGUACCGUGUUUAGUGGAUACCGGUUCCAUGGUAUCCACAAUUACAGAAAGUUGCUUUUUGCAGCAUUUCGAACCUUGGGGUCAAGAUCGCCUUAAAUCUUGUCAAUGGUUACAGCUUAGGGCAGCUAAUGGGCUUACGAUCCCUUAUGUUGGUUACCUGGAGCUCGAUGUCAAACUUUGUGAUAGGGUAGUUUCAGGAUGUGGUGUGCUGGUUGUCCGAGAUCCUCCAGGUGGUAUGUGCAAAGAUAUUCCUGGGGUGCUGGGGAUGAACAUACUAGGCCGUUGUUAUCAGGAUCUGUUUGGACAGCAUGGCACUGCCCUUUUUGAAUUGCCUAUCAUUGUGCAGUCUCCAAGUGUUUUGCAAGCAUUACAACAUUGUCAACAAGUGAGUACUAAGAGUUCAGAUCUUGCAGGGAAUGUACGGGUACGGGGACAUCGGGCGUGUCGAAUCCCUGGGGGCACAAUGAAGUUAGUUACUGCCACUUGUUCUUCUCAGUUUUCUGGCCAUACGGUUCUGUUUGAGCCCUCUGAGUCAGGUUUGCCAGCUGGGCUCUUAGCAUCUCCUGCGCUGGUCAGAGUGACCCGUGGUACAGUUUGGGUUCCUAUUGUGAACGUGGGCACUGUGGAUGUGGUAUUGUAUCCAACAACUGUGAUUGGUAGUUUGAGGGAGGCUUAUGUCAUUAGUUUACCUACAGGAGUUGUGGAAGUUGAUCCGGUUGUGGCUACAGUUCAGUCCCUUUCUUUGGAGACAGCAUCUCCACUGGUUCAGCAGAUUGAGUCUCUUGAUUGGCCUGUUUUGUCAAAAGAGGAGCAAGUGCAGGUAAGAGCACUGCUUCAGAAAUAUCAAGUGGUGUUUUCAGCUCAUGAGGGAGAUUUAGGCUGUACCCGUCUUA
ensembl:lncRNA